UAUUGUAAGACCUUACAAAUAUUAGUCCG
rnacentral:piRNA from 1 species